rnacentral:rRNA from 1 species
AUUGAACGCUGGCGGCAUGCCUUACACAUGCAAGUCGAGCGCGAAAGGGGGCAACCCGAGUAGAGCGGCGGACGGGUGAGUAACGCAUCGGAACGUGCCCAGUAGUGGGGGACAACCUCGAGAAAUCGAGGCUAAUACCGCAUACGACCCACGGGUGAAAGCGGGGACCGCAAGGCCUCGCGCUAUUGGAGCGGCCGAUGUCCGAUUAGCUAGUUGGCGGGGUAAGAGCCCACCAAGGCGACGAUCGGUAGCUGGUCUGAGAGGACGACCAGCCACACUGGGACUGAGACACGGCCCAGACUCCUACGGGAGGCAGCAGUGGGGAAUUUUGGACAAUGGGGG